GGCCUACUUGUGUUCCUUUCCAGGAUCUUGCCCUCAGCGGGGGAAGGAAUGUUACAGUGCUGAUGUUGUGCUCAGCAGUAGCCAAAACACUGGCAUGUUAUCAGCACCUUUCUACAUACCAAUGCAAAGCACAGCAUUGUGAGGGCUGCUGUGGGGAAGAUGAACCAUCCCAGUUCCAUCUCAGCCAGACCCAAGUCUGAGGAUGGAGACUGUGGGUGAAUUGCCCGCACCAUUCUGUUCAACAAUACAAGCCUUCUGUUUCGAGAGCAGAACACUGAUUUUAAGGAACAAGCAUUACCUUCAGGAGAUGUGAGGCAGCUUCCUGGGCAUAACCUUCAAAAUGAAUAUUCACACUCCAAUUAUUUCUUAAGCUGUCAACGGGGACUCCACAAUAUUUUUGUGUAGCUUUUUUAUUUUUCCUCUUUGAAACACAUAAGAAUAAUGAAACAAGAAUUUAGUAAAAUAUUUUCCAAC